GACCAGACUCCUACGGGAGGCAGCAGUGGGGAAUAUUGGGCAAUGGGCGCAAGCCUGACCCAGCAAUGCCGCGUGAAGGAAGAAGGCUUUCGGGUUGUAAACUUCUUUGACAGGGGAAGAGCAGAAGACGGUACCCUGAAAACAAGCCACGGCUAACUACGUGCCAGCAGCCGCGGUAAUACGUAGGUGGCAAGCGUUGUCCGGAUUUACUGGGUGUAAAGGGCGUGUAGCCGGGCUGACAAGUCAGAUGUGAAAUCCGGGGGCUCAACCCCCGAACUGCAUUUGAAACUGUUGGUCUUGAGUAUCGGAGAGGCAGGCGGAAUUCCUAGUGUAGCGGUGAAAUGCGUAGAUAUUAGGAGGAACACCAGUGGCGAAGGCGGCCUGCUGGACGACAACUGACGGUGAGGCGCGAAAGCGUGGGGAGCAAACAGGAUUAGAUACCCCUGUAAU
rnacentral:rRNA from 1 species